rnacentral:rRNA from 1 species
GAUGAACGCUAGCUACAGGCUUAACACAUGCAAGUCGAGGGGAAACGGCAUUAAGUGCUUGCACUUUUUGGACGUCGACCGGCGCACGGGUGAGUAACGCGUAUCCAACCUUCCCAUGACUAAGGGAUAACCUGCCGAAAGGCAGACUAAUACCUUAUGGUCUUCACUGACUGCAUCAGAUGUUAAGUAAAGAUUUAUCGGUUAUGGAUGGGGAUGCGUCUGAUUAGCUUGUUGGCGGGGUAACGGCCCACCAAGGCAACGAUCAGUAGGGGUUCUGAGAGGAAGGUCCCCCACAUUGGAACUGAGACACGGUCCAAACUCCUACGGGAGGCAGCAGUGAGGAAUAUUGGUCAAUGGGCGAGAGCCUGAACCAGCCAAGUAGCGUGCAGGAUGACGGCGCUAUGGGUUGUAAACUGCUUUUGUAUGGGGAUAAAGUCAAUCACGUGUGAUUGUUUGCAGGUACCAUACGAAUAAGGACCGGCUAAUUCCGUG